CCAGACUCCUACGGGAGGCAGCAGUGGGGAAUAUUGCACAAUGGGGGAAACCCUGAUGCAGCGACGCCGCGUGAGUGAAGAAGUAUCUCGGUACGUAAAGCUCUAUCAGCAGGGAAGAAAAUGACGGUACCUGACUAAGAAGCCCCGGCUAACUACGUGCCAGCAGCCGCGGUAAUACGUAUGGGGCAAGCGUUAUCCGGAUUUACUGGGUGUAAAGGGAGCGUAGGCGGCAGGGCAAGCCUGAUGUGAAAGCCCGGGGCUCAACCCCGGGACUGCAUUGGGAACUGCCCCGCUCGAGUGCCGGAGGGGCAGGCGGAAUUCCUAGUGUAGCGGUGAAAUGCGUAGAUAUUAGGAGGAACACCAGUGGCGAAGGCGGCCUGCUGGACGGUGUACUGACGCUGAGGCUCGAAAGCGUGGGGAGCAAACAGGAUUAGAUACCCGCGUAC
rnacentral:rRNA from 1 species